GAACACUGCAGUAUUCUACAAUAGUGCAGAUAGUCCAGAGGAAUACAGUUUGCAGCAGUGACUGCAGCAUUUUGAGCCAGUGCCGCAGGCAAAACUCCUGUUGACUUUAUUUGGUGCAGGAUUGGAUGGCUGGGGUGGGAUGCAAGUGGACUGGACAAUGUCAUUAGCGCAGCCCACAAAAUAUUGAGUAGUUUGCAGCAGGAAGGGAACAGGAACCUGUUGCUGUUUUAAUCUAAGGGGUCACACCAAUUGGGAAGCGGUGUCAUCACUCCUGAUAGGUCGGACUAAAUAUCCAGAUCCAAAAUUCCAUAGCAAGAAGCUACUGGGCCUGUCCCCAGCUCAGUGGAUAUGUCUGAACAAGGUCACGUGAGUUCCAUGCCAAGCUAGACCUUCAUUCUACAGGAUGCCCUGGGUUUCAGCAGCAGACCAGAAACUCUCCAGCAGCUUUAGAAACAAAGCCGAGCAGAUAAAAGGUUGAGUUCUUUUCAUAUGUCACUUGGAAACCAACUUGGUCCAUUCCUUAUUAAUCCCACUGAAGCUUCCCAAUGUAUUUGAUUUUCCGUUCAAUAAAAUCAGACCUUGAGCUAAAGAUUAAGAAUCUGAUGCUGCAAAAUGCCAACUCCCAGUUAAGUCAAUGGAAGUGAAAGCUACUCAGCACCUUGCAAGGUUGGACUUUUUUACAGGUAUUUAGAACAGCAUGUUUAUUUUGAAGGAUACAGAGCCUGAAUCAAAGCCCUUGAAGUGAAUGGGAGUCUUUUUGAUUGCAAUAAGCAACAGAGAGUCCUGUGGCACCUUUAAGACUAACAGAUGUAUUGGAGCAUAAGCUUUUGUGGGUGAAUACCCACUUCGUCAGACAUAUGCUUUUUACAGAUCCAGACUAACACGGCUACCCCUCUGAUUUUUGAUUGCAAUGGACUUGAUGGGGCUGAUAGAGUUUCUAUCCAGCUGCAGGUGUUUGAACAGCUUCUAAAACACAAUCCACGAAGCAAAGAAUAGCUCCAGGAUACUACCUGACUGUAAAUUGACACAGCUCCAUAGAUUUCAAUUGGGUUACACUGAUUUACAAGAGCUAUCGAGCCCAAUAGCUUCUCCAACCGCAUAUCUCAACUCAUGUCACAAGAAGUCAUCUGGAGCCCAUCCAAAGUCUACUCUCACUCUCCACCAGCCCCAGUAUCUCAGCCCUCUGCAUAAGGGAAAACAGACAGCCUUUGCAGGGGGUAUGUUUGAGUUAUUUCAAAGCAGCCGUGCAAGGGGGGGGAUGAAUAAUCAGGUUGAGGACCUUUCCCAGCGAACCACCUUCUGGCUGAUCCUCCACUGUUAUAACUGUCAGUAUUGCACAGGAAGAGGCAGCCUCCCAAAUAAGUGGGUCCCAAGAUAGUUACAACUUUAUAGUCAAAACCAACCCCUGAAAUCCUACCCAGAAACCAAGAGGCAGCUAAUGCCGAUCACAGAGCAUGGGUGUCCCGUAGUGAGAGACUUGGUUUAGCAAGAAGGUUGCCUCAGUUUUCACUGCAGUGCAAGGUAGAGUGGAUUGCAGUGCUGAGGACAGGUCGGAUCAGGGCAGUGAGGGAAAGGUUUACAUGCUACUGACCAGACAGAGAGGAGAAAGCAGCAGUUCUAGUGCCUGACUGAAGUCAUUGUGAAUUCUGACAUUGACUAAAAUGGGACAGGGCACAGGAUCAAGGCCCUAGUCAUUGCUAUUAUCUGAUCAUCAAAAUUCCUUUGCUAGGAUUCAAAAUCAUCUCUUUUAAUAUCUGUGAUGGAUUGUAGCGCAGCUCCGUAAAACUAAAAUGCUGAGUGGGAUAAACAUCAAAAUGGUCCUUUGUGAAGUAGACUUUAAGCAGGCUUUUAACCAUCAAAAUGAAACAGAAACAAAAUGACCAUAGCCAACACUUGCUUUUCAGUGUAUUUUAUGUAAAAUAGCAAUAUGUUGUUUCGCUAUAUAUGCUCUGGAGAAAUUAAAAACAAACAAACAAACCACCACUGCAGAUUCAAUCAACUUGCUUUUUUUUUGUAAUCAGGAUUACAUUUUAAAAAUCUAAUAG